rnacentral:rRNA from 1 species
AAUGAACGCUGGCGGCAGGCCUAAAACAUGCAAGUCGAGCGGGGUUUUCGGACCUAGCGGCGGACGGGUGAGUAAUGCGUAGGAAGCUGCCCGAUAGAGGGGGAUACCAGUUGGAAACGACUGUUAAUACCGCAUAAUGUCUACGGACCAAAGUGUGGGACCUUCGGGCCACAUGCUAUCGGAUGCGCCUACGUGGGAUUAGCUAGUUGGUGAGGUAAUGGCUCACAAAGGCGACGAUCUCUAGCUGGUUUGAGAGGAUGAUCAGCCACACUGGAACUGAGACACGGUCCAGACUCCUACGGGAGGCAGCAGCGGGGAAUAUUGGACAAUGGGCGCAAGCCUGAUCCAGCCAUGCCGCGUGUGUGAAGAAGGCCUUCGGGUUGUAAAGCACUUUCAGCGAGGAGGAAGGGUGGUGUGUUAAUAGCACAUCAUUUUGACGUUACUCGCAGAAGAAGCACCGGCUAACUCUGUGCCAGCAGCCGCCGCAGUAA